CAAUCGCAUGGCAAUCGGAUUGAACGCGCAACAUUUUCCAUACAAUCCGCAGUGUUGCGUUUUCUUCGCGCCAACUUUGCCUGUAUUUUCAAUGAGCCAAGCGAUUUUACCCCCUCCUACACGCAUUGUAUCCUACAGCACGCUUGUCGCGGCAACGUUCACCACAUACACACACACACACACACACACACACACACACAUCUCUACACUCAGCGUACGACAUCUGCCCUGUUGCUGUUCUGGACUCAGACAAAAUUUGUGUUUAUACACUUAUUGUUCAAAAAAGUAGUAGCUCUUAAGAUCUGAUUUUACAAACAAAUAUCAAAAUAUUAUGUUCUGCUAAUGAUAUUGCACAAGAUUUUAUUGCACUACAUGAAGUUUUACAUAUCUUUCGUAAAAAAUCGUCAGAGUAUGAAAACGUCGUUACAAUUUGUCAUGAAUAACUUAAAUUUUAAGAUUUUCGCGCAUAAAAUUAUGACGCGCGCUGUGCAUGUGCCUGCUGAAUUCUUAUAUCUGUCUCGCUUCUAAGCAUGUGUGCAUUACCGCUGUCAUCCAGUUGAAAACUUUGUUGUGAUUCGUAUUAGUGUUGAUAUUUUUGUUAUCAAAGGAACCUUUGAUUUGCAAUUUAGAUGAUCAAAUUGUAUAGAUUUAUCAUUUCAUGAGCAACAUAAUACCGCCAGUACCUCAGUGUUGUGAUCUAACGAGUAUUUAAUAAUUGAAAUAAACUAUAUUUACGUUACUGUGUUAUACUUGCUGUUUUGAGCAAUACGCUUGCUGUAAAUUUGAAUUCGGUAAACAAGUGACUUCAAGAUAUUCUAUUGUCCAUGCCCAAUCCCACCCAACUUGCCCCCCAAGGGAUUUGCGAGUCUACGCCAGGGAACUGCGUUCAGUCCGAGAGUCCGGCAGUGAUCCAAAAUACCAAAAAGGAUCCCACGUCCGGAAUUAUGUGUUGUGCUCACUUGAGUUGACUGCUUUUUCCAUAGUUGGCGGCAUCUGAUAUCUGUAUGUCACUGCUCUUCGUUGCUGCUUCGCUCCACGAUGGAUGUGGAUACGGGUGUCCUUGCUUGCUGGGUAGAUUGGUAUGAGUUCCACAAACUGCAAUGCGUUCAUACCAAUUUUCCACGCCAAUUUCUGACUUACGCUGUACCAGUCUGAGCAAUCUGCAGCACUCCAGAAGCACUCCUGGCAGUCCCCGUACCGCACAGGUGGUGCGUAGCAUAACGCCGAAUCGGUGGCUGCUGCCAGCAGGUGAGAACGAUUCAUGUGAACGACACGAUCACUCUACUGACGGUGAUAGAGACUACUUCCGGAGAUAGCUUUAAACUUGAACAACAGAACCAAACCAUAACCCUUACUUUGCACGAUGGCAUUUCAGCUGACAGUGUCCAUGCGGAUGGCGGAUGUGUAACGCCACAGCCAUCAGGCAGUGUUUAUACCGAGCGUUAAUGCUGUCGAACGAUAUGGCCGUUAUACCCGUGUUGACAAUACACUAGAUUAAGUGAUAGGAAAACCACACGCCGCGUAGGGCGUACCGGUCAUUGGGCAUUGACAUUGUUGUGAAUCCUAUUCCUCUUGGUACAGGUGAAUGAAUAUACGUCGCUGAAGUAUUUUUCCAAGUGUGUCCAGCAUUCCUAGCACCAAAGCUAAUAUUUUUGAAAGGUUAUCUAGGCUUGGGGAGCAAUAUCAUUUGUUGUCGGUUUUAAUACGGUGCAAAUGACCGCUCCCAAGACGAGUUUACCAGGUAUUCCUGUUUCGAUACUAUCGUCGUAGCAUGUUGAAUUAUUUUCAAUGUUCUGGGGCUUUUUACGUUGCCAUCUCAGCAGGCAGCUCAGUGCCAACCGUUACAGGCAUCAUAUAAUUGCUCGCCGACGAGAGCUUUCUCCACCUUUGCCCUCAGCUAUGUUGAUGAAUUGGAAACAUGAAACUGUUAGCAAAUGCUAACUUUAAUGACCUUCUCGAUCACGCGGUUUUCAUAAAAAUGAUGUUCCGCUGCCUCCUUUUACCCAGGUAAUGGCGCACAGGGAUUUCUGGUGCGCACGUUAUAGCAUGUGCGUUGAAGUAUUUCACUACAAGCAUCGGCAAGCACCUCAAAUAUCCUUCUCAGCUGUAUCUCUCUUGCUCUCUCGGAUAUCAAUGCUGCGAAUUCCAAUAUGGAACGAGUCCAAGUUACAAAGGGUCGUUUUCCACCUGCUGCUAACGCAUCGGUCGCGCUGUCGACUGUCAUGUGAAUUAUGCCGUAAUCGAUACGACUGGGGCUGUUGCGCACGCACCUGAUUUUCAUCGAGCCCUUGCAUCUCAAACUUUGUCAUCCCGUGGUCGGACCUCGGGGAUCUGAGCACAGGGCAUUGGUGUGAAAAAGUACAUGAAAUUAAAUUGUAACUAUGUAUACGAAUUAUGUAGUUGAAUUUUCGUUAACAGUGUUGUUUAAACAAAGUAUGUGAAAAAGAGUUCGAAUGAAUGCCCUGUACAGUUCAUAUUUAUUUUUAAAAUUAUUAUUCAGGCUGUUGAACAUUAAAAGUUGUUGUUUGAUGAAAAUGUUCUUAUUUUACUUUAUAAACUACUGUAAUACUACUGUACCCCCAGUAUGUCAAGUUACAAAUGCUUUUUUUAUAUAUAGCAAAACGUGGUACAGUCCUCAGGUGGCAAAACUUUAAAAAACUCGUGAGUUCAAGCCUUCUAUGGACCGGUCCCUUGUGUCAAGGAUUGAAUAUCCGUCUGCAUGGUACUAAUAAGCCUAGAAGCCCGGUACAGCCCUGCCCUUAGGUCGUUACGCCAAAUAACAGCAAUUUCAUAAAUAUAUUAUGGUUCAAUACACCACGGGUCCUGUCGAACACCCGGAAAAUGUAAAGCUCUUAAAAUGUUAUUAGAUUUUAUAUUAAAUACGUUAUGCACAAAAUGAUGUUAUGCAUCGCAUUUUUGCACACAUUCGCGUAUUUUGUUACCCUGUCGAAACCUGUCAAAAAUUAAAAACUUAUACUGUUAACCUGGUAGAUUUGUAUAAAGUUUACCAUUUCCAAAAUAUAAAGAGUAAACAUAAACAUAACUCAUAAACAUACCUGCUAAACAAAUAAAACUUACUCUUAACUUACAAAAAA